GUAUUUAGAAUUAUUUUAUUCAAAAUAUCUUCAGACAAAAUUGUUAUAAUAAAAAGUUGGUAUUGUGCCCUUUCCUCCUAAAAGAAAAAAGACAAACAUUGCACACAAGGUGAGUACUUAUUUAAAAAGUGCAGUAAAAAACACUUAUUAUGAAUGAUCCUUCCGCAGGUUCACCUACGGAAA
rnacentral:misc_RNA from 1 species